rnacentral:lncRNA from 10 species
CUUGGAAAAAGAACAAGAAAAAGGACAAUUCUCUGCUCCUCCCUUCCUCGCCUGACAUGCCCAACCAACCAUGGGGUCAGCCCCAGGAGAAGACAACUCCCCAUAAGGACCUCCUGAAUGCUAGGGCUGGGGCAGAAGAGCAUCGGGCCUCCAGUUUCUUGCCCUAUCUCCGUACCUCAAAUCCCCGCAAUCUCCCCAGCGUCAUCAUAUCGUUGCAGCGCUUGGGCACAAAGCACAUGACCUCCACAGCUUGCUGGGACACAGUUCACUCAGGACAUACCUAGGAUGAAAGCAGGAGGAGGCCCCCACUUCAGCGUCGGAGCUCAUCCUUGGUUCAGCCCGUUCCUCCCUCCUCCCCUUUAUCAUCAUAGCCAACCUUGGAGGAAAUUCCAUCUAAAAUGUGAGGGACAGUCUUCUGGAAGUUGUGCAACUGCAGGGAAGGGCUGUGGACACUUACAUACUCCUUUCCAGAGCCUUCUUCUUCUGUUCCUCCUCACUCUCAGGGGCUUGGGACAAAGUCUCCUCUUCAGGUGGCUGGAAGGAAAGAACAUCCUAGGGUGAGCAAACGAAUGCCCCUUGAGUGAAAGGAGCCUCCCCAGAGCCUGUCCUCACACCUGCGUCUUAUCUCCAGGGCCCUCCAACAGUGUGGUCAGCAAGGUCAGUUCCGGCAGCUCCUCUCCUGUGGCUAGAGCUGGCUCCAACAUCCAGUUCUGGGGGCCAGAAAUCAAGUGUCAGAGGUCGGGGACAGUAGCUGGGUGGCCCCAACUUGCCCUCUCUGCCAGUGUCCUUCAUAGAUGUCCCACAUGCUUUGGUGCCGUUCCCUGCUCACCUCAUAUGGUCCUGCCUGACCACUGUCUGCCUCAGUUUCCACACUGAGACAAUGUUUGGAAUGAUCCAACCAUCUCCUCAGGCCACUGACGGGCCCUGGGGGGCCUGGGGAACAGGGGCCAGAGCUGAGGCCAGAGCUGGGGCCAGAGGGGGCAGCCAGACCGGAGGCAGCAGAAGCCGAUAUACUCCCCUCACUGCCCGCAAUGGAAUAGGAUUCUAAUGGGAGGAAAAAGAGAGGAGGUGAUAGACCUUGCCCCAGCUCCAGACUCAGGGUCCCCAGGGAACUCCCAGGGUCUUCUCUUCAUGAUGCUCAGCCUCUCUCUCCAAGGGCUCACUCUCUUGCCAUCCUCAUUUGAGUUGGCCAGGAUAGAAAAUUUCACCAGGGCACCCCUGGGAGAAAGCACAGUAAGGUAAACGCCUGGCUCUCCAGGCCUGGAACCCCCAGUUACAUGUGGAGGUUCCCCAUAUCCUGAGCAUAGCAUAGAUAUGGGGGUGGGGGCAGCCAUCUGGGCAGACAUUGGAAGCUGGGGGUGGCCAUCUGCUCUCCUACAACCCUCCCUCUUUCAAUGGGUACAGACCAUUCUCUGGGAAGAGGGGAGGAUGAGCUGGGUCCAUCUGCCACUCCCAGUCCCCUCCUCCACCAAUUGCAGUAAUCACUAUAAAAAGAAAAGACUUCUGCAGCCCACCUCCCCAACACAUGCGUAGACCCAAUAGAGGAGGCCAGUGAGGAGGGUCCAUCAGGGUUAUCGUUGGCCUGUGCUCAGCGACAGAGAGCUGUGAUUCCUUAUAAAGCCCCUUGUAGAACCACCUCAUUCUCAUUCCUCCAUUCUCCUGUCCCUCUUCAGAAGUAGAUUCUUAGCAAAAGGUUUGAGGAAAAUAAUCGGUUCUAGGCCUAAGGGGAUUGUGGGUGGGUUUUUCUCAAACCCAUUUGACAAAGGGAAAGAGAUGAGUUCCCUGCCCCUUCCCCUAUUUCCUUAACUUGAACUAACAGAAAUUUGGAGGCAGAAGGGACCUUAGGGAUCACUUAAGAAACCACUUUCCUGGAAAACACAUACAGUCUCCAACCCUAAAUCCCAAGGGCCAGGGCAAACAGAUGCCCUGAACCCCCAGCCCGCCCCCCACUCAACACUGGACCCUCUCGACCUGGCACUCACCACGUCCCCCCCGGGCGAAGCAGCAGCCGCAUUUUG